rnacentral:ncRNA from 1 species
CUUAUUCCGAUAAGGAACAAGACUCUAGCCUAUUAAAUAGGUGCGUGGUUCCCUGCACCUUACACCCUUCUUAGAGGGACAAGUGGCUCCUAGCCGCACGAAACAGAGCAAUAACAGGUCUGUGAUGCCCUUAGAUAUCCGGGGACGCACGCGCGCUACAUUGAAGGAAGCAGCCUGUUUUAUCCCUGUCUGUUAAGACAGUAAGCUUAGAAAAAAGUGACUUGAUCAAAUACAGAGG